UAAGUAUAUACUGCUAUUAAUUUGUGUCCUGCGUUAAGAAAAAAGAAAGAGAAAAGGAAAAAGAAAAAGUUGAACUGAAUAAAAAAAAGAGGGAGAAAAGAAUGGAUACUGUGAACUCCCAGCAUCAUGGACAAUUAGACAAUUAGACUGGACUAUGUAUGGAUUAGGCUGAACUAUCAAUGGAACAGGAAGGUCACAGAUUAAUUUAAAUAAUUACAAGUUUAUUUUUAUUUACAAUAAAAAUUCUUCAGGAGUUUCUUGUAGAUAACGAUAAAGUUUUCCUUCCGAAUGACAAUUGGUAAGGCGUUAUAUAAUAUUUCGUCUGAGAAGUAGAACGAUUUUCUCGCAAACUCUAGUUUAACUUUAGGUAAUUUGAUUUGGAAGUUCUGAUUCCGAGUUCCUUGUGCGUGACGAUUUAUCUCAAAAUACGAGUGGAAUUUCCUACACAAUUUUUGAUCAAGCGAUUUUCUAACAACUAUAUUUGCUCGUUCUUCAAUCCAAUUUUGUAUGGGUGUCAAAUUAUCGGUUUCUGUAGUAUUACGCGCUUUAUUUUCAAUUGACUCCAAUUUUGAUUUUUGGGAAAUCUCCAAAUACUUAUACUCACAGGCAUUCAAAAUGUUGGUUGAUCGAUACUUAACCUCAAAAGUUUUAUUUCUUUGGCUAAUUCUUUUCGCAGCUCCAAACGCAGUUGUAAAUACCGUGUAACUUUGUGUAACUUUGACUUUCUUCCAGACCAAUGGAAUCUCCGAUUGGAUAAGAGAGAGAUUAAUAAUAUAUGAGAUUGGAUGAUAUAUGGCAUUCGCAGAAUCUUUCAAGAGGUUUGGAGGAAUUUGAUCCAAUCCCGGCGAUUUACCGCGUUAAAGUUCUUUAAGAUGUCUUAAAAUAAUAUUAAAAUGUUGUGUUUGAACGCAGUUGAGUCAGGUGAUACUUUUGUAGGGUAAAUCCUUUUGAUAGUCGCCCAGAACUUUUUUGGAUUGAUUUUUUUAUCCUCGAGAAGAUUUCUAUUGAAUUUGCUCUUUGCAUACUCCAUGAAGUUGUUACAACGAUUCCGUAAAGUAUUGUAUACGUUCCAGUCAUUUACGGUUUUCGAUCGUCUGGCUCUGCGUAAUACUUGAUCCCGAUUAUUCAUAACAGAUUUAGUUUCAUUAUCAAGCCAAGGGCAUGGUCUACCUUUAACACGUUUUUUAUAUCACAUUAUAGUCAAACGACGUUGCAUAACGUGAUAACAACGCAAUGUUUGUGGGCGAUAGAAUUUUGAAUACCGUUGAUUUUUUUUCAAUAGGUUGUGAAGAAGACGUUUUUGCGACAGUAAAUCUAUUGGAUUCAGAAAACUAAGAACUCAAGCGGUUGACCGUUAUGCUGGUAUGAGCAACAAGGAAAUAAUAAAGUCAAAUAGCAAUGAUGGAAAGUAUAAAAGAUAGUUUAGUGUUCGCUUCACAAACAAAAGAUCUCGAACUGUUCGUGUGAAAGACGUCCACGAACAACAACAGAUUAAUAUAGUUGAUCUGAACAAAAUAAAAAUUGAACGUAACGGGAAAACUUAUUGCUACAUAGUUUCAAUAAUGAACGUUUUUUCCAGAUUUCAUUGGCUAGUUCCACUGGAUCGAAAAUUAACACGACAUGUGAAAAGAGAGAAAAAAAAAUUGAGGGAGAUGGUAGCGGAGAGGUGUUCAAUGAAUUGGUUGAUGAGGGCGUUGAUAGUGAAGAGGUAUUCGAUGAAAAUGGAAUGCUUAAUAAGGGAGAUGAUAGCAAAAAGGUUCAUGCAAUUUAUUUAGAGAUGGCUAAUAGACAAAUACCACCUUCAAUGACAGUCAGAGAGAAACAUUUAAUUGAUGUCAGUGGUGGAAGAUGCAGUGGUAUUGCAACACAUUCAAAAGAAAUUCUGUCGAACGAUCCUAACCAGCCACGGCAUUGCAGACAUGGUAGAGUAAUAAGAUAGGAUCAAGUCGUAGUUGCGUUGCAAGCCUUGACGCAUGGAUGCACAACAGCGAAAGAAAAGACUCUGGUACCGACCUGUAGUCCUUCAACGCCCUUUUUCAAAAUUACAGCGAAUAGCAAUCAUGGAGAGUGCACAGUGAAAAAAACAAAUAGAGGUGCGUAAUCGAGGGUUUUCUUGAGUUGUGAAAAGUGAAGUUUGAUGAGAUUGGUAAACUUUUUAAAAAUAUUGUUUCUGUGUUUAUAUAUCAAUGUACUUUUUAUCGUGCUUUUGUUAUUAUAAUUUCCUUAUGGCUCCUAAGCAAUAAGAAUACUAUAAACAAUUAAUUUGAUAAUAUAGUAGAAAGGUUUCUUAUUCUAGAAAUCAUUACUAAAUAUACCCUUGGAAGACUCUAGGUGCAGUGACUCAAGCGAACUUUGCUGUGUAUUCCUUAACAAAAUUAGUUUCACAAAUGGCCAAGAUUUUUUUGUUUUUUGCAGAAUUAAAUUUAACGUAUAUCAAAGAUAAAAAAAACAAAAUGUCUUUAGGGAAGAAAUUGUUUGUGCACGAAAAAGUUGCGGAAUUCAGUUGAACAAAAAUUGCGAAUAAGAACGGUUUUUUUUUGAAAAUACGAAAUUAACGGUAAUUUUUUGCUAAAUAUUUAGGAAAAUUGUGAGCCAGGAAGAAAAAGAGUAAAUUACGAAGAAAAAAAUGUGAAUUUCUGUUCUAAUUUUGAAAGACUCAAAAGUUAAAACUAUAAGCAAAUUCACAAACAUUAUUCCGAAUUCAUUCUUUUCCUUUAGGAAAACCAUUGUGGCAUUUAGUCACGAUAAAUGCCUGAAGGGGCCCUUUUUUGUGAAAACCAUAAGUACAAAUGUUAUGGACUUAAUACCUGUUUGAAAUGAGUUAGACCAACAUAAAGGAAUUGGCAUAAAUAUUUCAAUAUUUAAAAUAUUUAAUAUUUAUUUUUUGCCAUUUAGGAACAAUACAGUAAGUUGCAUUUAAAAUAAAUAAGAAAUAGAUAAACAUAGUAUAGCACGGAACUAAAGUCUACUAUUGCGUAUUACAACUUCCUUGUCAUAAAACAAAAUAAGAAUAAAUUCAUUGUUACACACCUCGAUUGAGAAAGACGGAUUUGCUUAAGGCUAAAUUAUUUCCAGGCUGCUUUGCUUGCUUCGAGGCUUUGUUUACUAUUUUUACAGGAAACUUAUCUUACAGGGUUCCCAACUGUGGUUAAACUUACCAUCUUUCAUUGCGCGUUCUGUCACUUUUAAUACUGUCUGUCUAUCUGUGUCAUACAUUGCUGAAUUAGGUUAUAUCUAAGAUAGGAUAUGUAUUGAAUUAAAUUUUAUUAUUUUUUAAUCUAUAUAUUUUUUUAUUAUUAUUAUUUUUUUACUUGACUAAAAAUACUGAACAGUGAUACAGGGAUAAUCUUAGGUACCCUAAAAAUCAAAUAAGAAUAAAAAUACAAAAAUAAAUAAUUUAAAUAUUGCAAUGCAAUAAAUACUUAAGUAUUCAGACAUUUUGACGAACAGCAUGGUGUGAACCCUUUUGGGAAAAUUGUAUCCAUCGAUGGCGAAACGCAACUAUUAAUGGAAUCUAAUAAAAGCUUUUCUCAGAAAUUUAAUUUACUAGUUUUCAGUUUGUCGAACGCCAGCCUUUACAACUUUUAUACCAAGUCCCAUGAUCUCUAACAUUUCAAUAAGGAUGUUCUCUCCAGUUGACACUUGUUUUUAAAUUUAAUUUUAUUGUUGUUAUUGUUGCUAAACAUUUAUUCAGGGUUACGAAUGUUUCACAAUAUAAAAACAAGAAAUAAAUCUAUUAAAAUUUAGUGCCAAUUCGGACAAAGUACGGAAUUAAGUUAGGUAACUAAGUUGAUACUAAGUAGGUUCACAAGUGACUUAAUUUAAACAACUGAAUGGUGUCAUUGGGAUCAGAAAGGACGUCAUGCCUAAAGUAGACGUCAUACAUGCGAUUUUCCCAAAUUUUGCAUUUAAUUUAAAGUUCUCAAGCAUUACUGACGAUAGGGCUGUAAAUUUUGGUAGACAUUUGGUAGAAAGAAAACAAUCGAUUUUAUAUGAAAAAUAAACUUUAAUGACGUCAUUAGGUUAAAAAAUGACGUCAUAUUUGUUAAAACGUUCCUUAUAUUAACGAUAGAAGUUAACAAAAUGUUUUAUCAGAAAUAUUGAUCUUCAUGUUUUAAUCUCGAAAAGCUCUGGGGACGAGAAUGGAUCUUCAUGUGAUGAAACAUGGACACGUUUUGAUUUUGGUAUUUAUAGAUGUCCGGGGGUAUGGGGAAUAAUAUAAUGAAUUCAGUGGAAUUAGAAAUGACGUCAUUUUAGAGUAUAAAUAAUUGCUUUUAAUAUGAACCGUAGUUUAUCCCUAGAAUUCAACGUAUUCUUAGAAACACCUUAGUAACCACCUGGUAACGAACAUACAUGUAAUAAAUAAUUAUAACCAAUAAAAUAUCUUACUACAAAAAUGUUUCAAGAAAUAAAUUUAUUUUAUUAAAAGUCCCAAUAACAGGUAGGAAAAAUCAGAACAUUUCAGGGCCCUAUUGCAUGACGCACUAAACAUUGUGCCCAGUCAAAGGGGUUGGAGACACUUACUGAUUGUAAUAAGAUGUAAAUUGUGUGCGAAAAACAUAUACACCAUCGCAAGUUUUAACCUUUUAAAAAAUUAAGAGUUUCCACAGUUGAUAUAUAUUAGGAAAUAAUCCCUGUGACGGGAAUAUAAUACAAUCAAAAACAUCAUUGUCCAAAAUUAAAUCAGUUCCUCCCUUUUUUUCACAAUUGAGCAAAAGCUUGCAUUUAAUAAAGAAUGAUACAUAUUUAAUGACUUAAAAAUAAAUUUGUUAAUAUUAAUUUAUAAUAAUAUAUGCCACUGUUGCAAGUUUUUGUUGCAGGAAAAAUAAAGGGAAAAUCGCUCUUCACUUUUUUUAAUUUAUUAUAAAAAAUAUAUUUGUAGAAAAUAUAUAGCCACUUAAAUAAAAUAAUUUUAAUAAAAACUGAAACAAAAAGCAACACGACAGCCAAAACGUAAAAAUAAAAACGACCACAGAUGUAGUUUAUGAGACUUUUCUUGUUUUAAGAUUUCAAAAAAUUUCAUGUCACAGUAAAUCACAAAUCUUAUUCACAAUUCACCGCACAUUUGAAGUCUGCAGUGAAGCUUGAAUGCCUUUACAUAUUUGACAGCUAACCACUCUGAUAUUUCAUCAUAGGACUUUUUUCUUAUCUUAAGGAUGUAAAUUAUUAAAAAUUGACAAAAUAUUUCGAAAAAUCGUUUAGGUCACGGGCCAUUUCGGUGUUUUUAAAAACUGUACUCUUCGCUUAACUUAGACGUCUUAUAACUUAAGUAAAAAUUGUAAUUCUUAUACAUGUCAGAUAAAAUUUGAAACAACCCCAUUUUAAUAUAAUACAACAUGAGUUUCUCCGUUUCUUUGUGUUCCGAGACGAAGAUAAGCCGUUUUUUGACAGAACAUCGGUGAUUAAGAACAUCAAUGUUUAAGACGUAUGCACAAAUUAGACAAAUAGUCGUUAGACCGUGGAAAAAUGCACGGGUUCGCCCGUCCUUGUUAUACCGCAUAUUGCGUGCGUCUCGCUACUUGCGCAGCUAAGCUACCAUUUUGCGUGACAGACAGACGGAUGGACAGACGUAUACGGGUAUUAUAAUAUAGAUGAGCAUACUUAUUAUUAUUAUUAUUUUCUUUAUUAUUAUUUACGGAUAUUUACAGAGGAUAACCAUUUAAAAAGAAGUACAAUAUUUACAAAUAAAUAUAGACAAAUUUUUCCAACGGAACCUCUCCCUCCCCCAGUUUUAAAGAAGAAUAUAUGCAAGUUAAGAAGUGAACACGAGUAAUGUCCAACCCAACGAUAAGAACACCGCCAAGAAUCAUUAGCUCAUCCUGUGACUUUGUAGAGAUUUAUAAAUUAGAAUGGAACAAUAAACUACCGAGUAUAACAAAUACAAUGAUUUACGCAAGCAACCGCACUUAUUUCUCAAAAAACGUGUAAUCGUUUUUAUUUUAAGUUUUGUAUACAUCACUUGCCUAAAGUUAUGUCAGAUAUAUUUCCACUAUUUUUCGGAACACUCUCUUGGGUGGUAGCAUACUUAGGAUCAAAAUCAAACUAACAAAAGAAUACUAGGUAGGCAAUUUUUAUUCAAAAAAUCUUACAUAAGAAAUAUUUUAUAUUUACAAUAUUUGUUCUACCAAUGGUCUUCUGUUUUGGACAAGCUUCAAGCAGUAACUUAUAGUUCAAGUUUCUACAGUAGCAAUGAUCGAUACACAUAACUGUACACCUCAAAGUAAUUUAAUUCUUCUUUAUAUUAAAUAAAAGUAUUUGUUCUUGUGCCCAGCACGUACUGGCAUCACCAAAAGAUGGAAAAUACUUCUGCUUGUUAUUUAACAGACCAAAACAACCAAUUACAAAAUAUACUGCUCCAUGAAAUUUUAGAAAAAACUUUAAGAUUUUAGUAAACAGCAGAAGUGCACUUAUUAAUGAUGUGUUUUUUAUUUGACUCUUUUAAACGUCACCGUAAAAAUGCAUUUCGCUCACCAAAAACGCUUGCGAAGAAUCCAGAUGAGUUAAGACAACUUGUUGACCUGAUAACAAUGAAUUGCAUUCUACAACAAAAUUGACAUCAGCUACUUCUGGUACCCAUGAACAGAAUUUAUCAUCAACCGUGAUCACAGCUUUCCUGACAGUCGUUACCAAACGAAUUGUUAUAAAUCGAAUGAAUUUUACCAUACCGAAGUCAAGUCUAAAGUGACUUGUGCUGUCAUGGAAAGUUCCAGCGUACGUACUAUCAUGCCCAUCUUGCAGGUUCUUUAAUGGGUAUGAAGAAUGAAUCGGAAAUGCUGCCAUAGACAAAGGUGUGUGAAGUCGAUGUAGAUAGUACUUACGUAUGCACUGGUAUCCUACUUGAUCGUCUUCAAAGCAGCUUUCAUUAACUCGCACGCAAGAAACGUUGGAUGAUAAUUCACAAACGAGCAACUAUCGCAUGUUAGACACGAUAAAACACAUUCAGAUCUUGUCACACCGUCUAGAGAUUUUUCCACAGUGCCAUUGAAUCUUGUAU